AUUGAACGCUGGCGGCAGGCCUAACACAUGCAAGUCGAGCGGAUGAAGGGAGCUUGCUCCUGGAUUCAGCGGCGGACGGGUGAGUAAUGCCUAGGAAUCUGCCUGGUAGUGGGGGAUAACGUCCGGAAACGGGCGCUAAUACCGCAUACGUCCUGAGGGAGAAAGUGGGGGAUCUUCGGACCUCACGCUAUCAGAUGAGCCUAGGUCGGAUUAGCUAGUUGGUGGGGUAAAGGCCUACCAAGGCGACGAUCCGUAACUGGUCUGAGAGGAUGAUCAGUCACACUGGAACUGAGAAACGGUCCAGACUCCUACGGGAGGCAGCAGUGGGGAAUAUUGGACAAUGGGCGAAAGCCUGAUCCAGCCAUGCCGCGUGUGUGAAGAAGGUCUUCGGAUUGUAAAGCACUUUAAGUUGGGAGGAAGGGCAGUAAGUUAAUACCUUGAUGUUUUGACGUUACCAACAGAAUAAGCACCGGCUAACUUCGUG
rnacentral:rRNA from 1 species